UAGCUUGCUAAGGCCGAUGGCGACCGGCGCACGGGUGAGUAACACGUAUCCAACCUGCCGUCUACUCUUGGACAGCCUUCUGAAAGGAAGAUUAAUACAAGAUGGCAUCAUGAGUCCGCAUGUUCACAUGAUUAAAGGUAUUCCGGUAGACGAUGGGGAUGCGUUCCAUUAGAUAGUAGGCGGGGUAACGGCCCACCUAGUCUUCGAUGGAUAGGGGUUCUGAGAGGAAGGUCCCCCACAUUGGAACUGAGACACGGUCCAAACUCCUACGGGAGGCAGCAGUGAGGAAUAUUGGUCAAUGGGCGAGAGCCUGAACCAGCCAAGUAGCGUGAAGGAUGACUGCCCUAUGGGUUGUAAACUUCUUUUAUAAAGGAAUAAAGUCGGGUAUGCAUACCCGUUUGCAUGUACUUUAUGAAUAAGGAUCGGCUAACUCCGUGCCAGCAGCCGCGGUAAUACGGAGGAUCCGAGCGUUAUCCGGAUUUAUUGGGUUUAAAGGGAGCGUAGAUGGAUGUUUAAGUCAGUUGUGAAAGUUUGCGGCUCAACCGUAAAAUUGCAGUUGAUACUGGAUAUCUUGAGUGCAGUUGAGGCAGGCGGAAUUCGUGGUGUAGCGGUGAAAUGCUUAGAUAUCACGAAGAACUCCGAUUGCGAAGGCAGCCUGCUAAGCUGCAAC
rnacentral:rRNA from 1 species